UCGACUAACUAGAAGUAUAAAGGAAAUUGGAUAAGGAAAUAGAGUGCCACGCAUUGAGAUUUUGUUCAAACUAGAGUUCAAUUCUUUUUUAGUUGGUAACACUAAAGUUUAAUUAGCGUCCUUGACAUUGUGUAGUUUUCUUUUCGUAAAAAUCUACAUUACUAGUGACAGUCUCAAAUGAUGUUUUAAAAACUACCAAAUCUCUUUAAAAUCCCUUCUAUCGACUUGAUAUUC